rnacentral:rRNA from 1 species
CCUACGGGAGGCAGCAGUGGGGAAUUUUGGACAAUGGGCGCAAGCCUGAUCCAGCAAUGCCGCGUGCAGGAUGAAGGCCUUCGGGUUGUAAACUGCUUUUGUACGGAACGAAACGGCCCUUUCUAAUACAAGGGGCUAAUGACGGUACCGUAAGAAUAAGCACCGGCUAACUACGUGCCAGCAGCCGCGGUAAUACGUAGGGUGCGAGCGUUAAUCGGAAUUACUGGGCGUAAAGCGUGCGCAGGCGGUUAUAUAAGACAGAUGUGAAAUCCCCGGGCUCAACCUGGGACCUGCAUUUGUGACUGUAUAGCUAGAGUACGGUAGAGGGGGAUGGAAUUCCGCGUGUAGCAGUGAAAUGCGUAGAUAUGCGGAGGAACACCGAUGGCGAAGGCAAUCCCCUGGACCUGUACUGACGCUCAUGCACGAAAGCGUGGGGAGCAAACAGGAUUAGAUACCCUGGUAGUCCACGCCCUAAACGAUGUCAACUGGUUGUUGGGUCUUCACUGACUCAGUAACGAAGCUAACGCGUGAAGUUGACCGCCUGGGAGUCGGCCGCGAAGUUGAAAUACAAAGGAAAUUGACGGCGNGAGAGNGCGACGACGACGACGAGGGAGGAGG